AGUGAACGCUGGCGGUAGGCCUAACACAUGCAAGUCGAACGGCAGCACAGUAAGAGCUUGCUCUUACGGGUGGCGAGUGGCGGACGGGUGAGGAAUACAUCGGCAUCUACUUUUUCGUGGGGGAUAACGUAGGGAAACUUACGCUAAUACCGCAUACGACCUACGGGUGAAAGCAGUGGAUCUUCGGACCUUGCGCGACUGAAUGAGCCGAUGUCGGAUUAGCUAGUUGGCUGGGUAAAGGCCCACCAAGGCGACGAUCCGUAGCUGGUCUGAGAGGAUGAUCAGCCACACUGGAACUGAGACACGGUCCAGACUCCUACGGGAGGCAGCAGUGGGGAAUAUUGGACAAUGGGCGCAAGCCUGAUCCAGCCAUACCGCGUGAGUGAAGAAGGCCUUCGGGUUGUAAAGCCCUUUUGUUGGGAAAGAAAAGCAGCAGGUUAAUACCCCGCUGUUCUGACGGUACCCAAAGAAUAAGCACCGGCUAACUUCGUG
rnacentral:rRNA from 1 species